rnacentral:lncRNA from 1 species
AAAGAUGCAGGGAUGUGGGUGCAGGGCCACAGGGCUGCAGAGAUGCAGGGAUGCAGAGAUGUGGAUGUGGGGCUGCAGAGAUGCAGGGCUGUGUGGAUGCAGGGCUGUGGGGCUGCAG